rnacentral:rRNA from 1 species
UACGGAGGGAGCUAGCGUUGUUCGGAAUUACUGGGCGUACAGGGAGCGUAGGCGGUUCGGUAAGCCCUCUGUGAAAUCUCCAGGCUUAACCUGGAACAGUCGGAGGGGACUGCUGGGCUAGAGGACGGAGAGGAGCGCGGAAUUCCCGGUGUAGCGGUGAAAUGCGUAGAGAUCGGGGAGGAAGGCCGGUGGCGAAGGCGGCGCCUCUGGA